AAUCAUUAGUCUUUUAAUUGAAGGCUUGCAUGAAUGGUUGAACAAAAAAUAAUCUGUCUUUAACAUAAUUUAUUGAAUUUAACUUUUAAGUAAAAAGGCUUAAAUAUAUUAAAGUGACGAUAAGACCCUAUAAAACUUAAUAAUUUAAAUUUAAAGAGUAUAUUGGUUGUAUAAAAUUUUUUUGAUAUAUAUUAUUUUAUUGGGGCGAUAAAAAUAUAAAAAGUAGCUGUUUUGUUGUUUAAAUGAUUAUUAUUAGAGAUUAAUUUGUUCCUUUAUUAAAGGUUAUAAGAUUAAGUUACUUU
rnacentral:rRNA from 1 species